AUUAUAUUUGGGAUUUGGUUUGAUUUUUUUGGUCUCUGCAAUUUCGACUUAGGUCGAUUAUUUCAGGUUUGCUGAAAUUGAAAUGCUUGUUGUUUGUGUUGUCUGAUAAUUGUGAGAAUCACUUUGAACUUGGUUUAAGUGAGUUUUGAAAGACGCGCUUCUUGAUUUUCUGGUUACUCUGGUUAACGUCAAAGUUUUUGUGGUUGUUUAAUUUCCACAGUGUUUUGUGUAUGUGUGUGUCUGUUUAAUCAAUGGUCGCACAAAUAAUUAGAAAUGUCUGCUUUAUUUAAUUUUCAAAGUCUCCUGACAGUCAUCUUGCUGUCCAUCUGUACCUGUUCAUUUAUAAGAGCUAUGAUGCCUACUCUGCUGGAUCGUCGGAAAACUGGACUUCUUGGUAUUUUUUGGAAAGCUGCACGUAUUGGCGAAAGAUUGAGCCCUUGGGUUUCAGCUUGUUGUUUAAUAAUGGCUUUUACAAUUUUAUUCUGGUAAAGCACAAUUUCAUAAUAAUUCACAAAAUGCGAAUAACAGGAAAUUUGUUGUUAAUGCUAAAAUCAAACUCUGGUAAAGUCUGUAAAGAUAAAAGAAGAAAAAUAUUAUUCAGAUUUGGAUUCUUGUAUGAUGAAAAGUUUUUAAAUGUUUACGAUUAAUGGCUUUUGGUAAUUUUCAAAAAGUGAUAUUUUUUAUCCAGUUAUUCUCUGAUUCAUUUCUAACAAUAAAAAUUGAUUUACCUUUGUAUUUCCUUGCCCGCUUAACAAAAGCUUUAUCACAACAAAAUUUGUUUUGGCGACCUUAAUAAAAGAAGAAAUCUGUAACAUAAAA